rnacentral:rRNA from 1 species
GACGAACGCUGGCGGCGUGCCUAAUACAUGCAAGUAGAACGCAGUUGGGAACGGGUGAGUAAAGCGUAGGUAAAUGCCUGGUAGCGGGGGAUAACGAUUGGAAACGAUAGGUAAUAACGAAUACUACAAGAUGGAACUGUGUUGUAUUAGCUAGUUGGUGGGGUAAAGGCUCACAAAGGCAAUGAUACAGAGCCGAACUGAGAGGGUGAUCUGCCCUACUGGGACUGAGACACGGCCCAGACUCCUACGGGAGGCAGCAGUAGGGAAUCUUCGGCAAUGGACGGAAGUCUGACCGAGCAACGCCGCGUGAGUGAAGAAGGUUUUCGGAUCGUAAAGCUCUGUUGUAAGAGAAGCGGUAUCUUACCAGAAAGGGACGGCUAACUACGUGCCAGCAGCCGCGGUAAUAC